AUUGAACGCUGGCGGCAUGCCUUACACAUGCAAGUCGAACGGUAACAGGUCUUCGGAUGCUGACGAGCGGCGAACGGGUGAGUAAUGCAUCGGAACGUGCCCAGUAGUGGGGGAUAGCCCGGCGAAAGCCGGAUUAAUACCGCAUACGACCUGAGGGUGAAAGGGGGGGAUCGCAAGACCUCUCGCUAUUGGAGCGGCCGAUGUCAGAUUAGCUAGUUGGUGGGGUAAAGGCCUACCAAGGCAACGAUCUGUAGUUGGUCUGAGAGGACGACCAGCCACAGUGGGACUGAGACACGGCCCAGACUCCCACGGGAGGCAGCAGUAGGGAAUUUUGGACAAUGGGCGCAAGCCUGAUCCAGCAAUGCCGCGUGCAGGAAGAAGGCCUUCGGGUUGUAAACUGCUUUUGUCAGGGAAGAAAUCUUCUGGGUUAAUACCUCGGGAGGAUGACGGUACCUGAAGAAUAAGCACCGGCUAACUACGUGCCAGCAGCCGCCGCGGUAA
rnacentral:rRNA from 1 species